AGUGAACGCUGGCGGCGUGCUUAACACAUGCAAGUCGAACGAGAACGGAUUAUAGCUUGCUAUAAUUGUCAGCUAAGUGGCGCACGGGUGAGUAAUAUAUAGAUAACCUGCCCUCUAGAAAGGAAUAACAGUUGGAAACGACUGCUAAUGCCCUAUAUGCCUUUAAUACAUAAGUAUGCAAGGGAAACGCUUUAGUGCUAGAGGAUGGGUCUGUAUGGUAUCAGCUUGUUGGUGAGGUAAUGGCUCACCAAGGCUAUGACGCCUAACUGGUUUGAGAGGAUGAUCAGUCACACUGGAACUGAGACACGGUCCAGACUCCUACGGGAGGCAGCAGUGGGGAAUAUUGCACAAUGGACGAAAGUCUGAUGCAGCAACGCCGCGUGGAGGAUGACACAUUUCGGUGCGUAAACUCCUUUUAUAUAGGAAGAUAAUGACGGUACUAUAUGAAUAAGCACCGGCUAACUCCGU
rnacentral:rRNA from 1 species